CGUCGUUGGUGAAAUUAAUGAUCACCCGGCCUAUUGUCGGGUCAGGUGUCUGUGUGCGGUCGUUUGCAGUGCGUACCUAUACAUACAUAUUAUGCAUACGUAUAGCGUAUAUGUGUGUCACGUGUGCUUAUAUGCAUAGUUUGCCGAUGUAACGCAUUGAAUUCGGUGAAAAUUUACAUUCACAGCGGCCCUAUAUUCUCUCCUCGUCUUCCACUGUCUGCUUUUUUUUCCACACCAUAUCGAUUUAGCCUUUCCUAGGAAACCCCGCAAAUACAACGGUUAUAUUUUUUAAUACAUUUGGGCGAACGCGCGCGCGUCUGCCCGUGUCGUCCGUGUGCGUGUAUAGUGUGCUGUUAAUGCUAAAAAGCGAUUGUCGUUCAUUCAUGCAAAAACGUUUAACCGUGACGGACAUCACCGCGGAAUGGCGUAGCUAUAUACGUGUAGGGGAACAUGAGUGACCCCGGGGGAUAAACGUGAUGACGCCGCCGGGUACGCCGCCCAAAACAAAAAGUACAGACAGUACAGAAAACGAAGACGUAACAGUGGUAGACAUUGAAGAUGACUCAGCGUUCGCCAUUCGAAAGAAUGAUGGUAAAAAACACGUACAUUUUUCGGAAGAGACCAUCACAGUGAUGAUACCCAAUCCACCCAAAGGGUUUUGUGACUCGGUAAAAAAACUCCUGGACUUUGUUUGCUGUUGCGGAUGUUGUUUUCCAAACUACUUAUAAUUGUAAGCUUUGUGAUAAUUAAUAAUAUAUUUUUUUUUAAUAUUAGAUAUUAUGUAUUAUUAUUUUGUAUACUAUUAUUAUAAUAUAUUGUAUUAUAUACUUAAUUGCACUGUUAAACAGCGCUAUCGUGUGUUCUUAUUAUAUUAAAAUUGUAAAUAAAAUAAUUAGAAACUAUUUUACAAAAUGUGUCUAAUUUUUUGAAUAAAUAUAAAAAUAUGUGUGUGUA